rnacentral:misc_RNA from 1 species
UUAAGUUCAGCGGGUAUCCCUACCUGAUCCGAGGUCAACCUGAUAAAAUUGGGGGUUGUUGGCAAGCAACCGACCGGACCCUAUAGCGAGGAGUAUUACUACGCUUAGAGCCAAUCGGCACCGCCACUGACUUUAGGGGCCGCUGGUGGGCGGGCCCCAAUACCAAGCUGAGCUUGAGUGGUAUAAUGACGCUCGAACAG